rnacentral:rRNA from 1 species
GACGAACGCUGGCGGCGUGCUUAACACAUGCAAGUCGAACGGUAAGGCUCCAGCUUGCUGGGGUACACGAGUGGCGAACGGGUGAGUAACACGUGGGUGACCUGCCCUGCACUUCGGGAUAAGCCUGGGAAACUGGGUCUAAUACCGGAUAGGACCAUGGUGUGGAUACUGUGGUGGAAAGUUUUUUCGGUGUGGGAUGGGCCCGCGGCCUAUCAGCUUGUUGGUGGGGUAAUGGCCUACCAAGGCGGCGACGGGUAGCCGGCCUGAGAGGGUGGACGGCCACAUUGGGACUGAGACACGGCCCAGACGCCUACGGGAGGCAGCAGUGGGGAAUAUUGCACAAUGGGCGGAAGCCUGAUGCAGCGACGCCGCGUGGGGGAUGACGGCCUUCGGGUUGUAAACUCCUUUCACCAUCGACGAAGGGUUUCUGACGGUAGAUGGAGAAGAAGCACCGGCUAACUACGUG